GGGGCUGUGGUUCAGUGGUAGAACACUUGCCUACCAUGCAUGAGGCUCUGGGUUCGAAACUCAGCACCA
rnacentral:tRNA from 1 species